UAAGAUUUAAGCGUGAUACCUCAGUCUUACCGCGCUAACGUGUCCCUACGAAAGUCACUUCAUUACCGACCUGCCGACCGCCGCACCCAUGUCAAAUGCGGCAAGCCCCAACACUGGUAUUUCGUGAGCCUUCAUUACACUCGCUCCGUACCUGAUAAUAAUCCGCUUCUUUUAUCCGAUUAACUAAGUAUUUGGUGGUGUGCCUAAUCCACCGUGCUUUCGACGUUGAAUGUGUGCGGAGUAUGGCUUAUGCAGGUUCUCUCUUUACGAGUACAUAUUAUUCAUCUUAUGUGUUGUCCAGCCUACCCUAGAGAAGCUUAAAUAGUAAUUUUGUGCCAUCUCAAAUUCUCCAACUUGUUCUUAUCAUGAACGCAUACAUCUCAUUGGUGAUCUCAGGUAAUCCAAUAAGGACAAUACCUUGGCAGUUUCAUCCUUUUUCAUAAGCGUGUGUUGAUACGAAAUUUAAUAAUAUCGAGUGUAUUUCCGUAAUUUCAUUUUUAAUAAUUAUCUAAACAAAGAUACCUGUAUGCUUUUGUAAAUGAACUUUGGAAACAAUACUGCAAAUAAUUGCUAAGAAAUAGACCUGUAUAUGCAAACAGAUAGAUUAUUCAUAGAAAAUCAACCACCCCCUUUUUCGAAAUAGCAUCCUAGGAAUGAAACAAUCACCUAAAGAAGAUCUAGACUUUAAUCAGUGAAGUGAACUAUGUUUAUGUGUUGUUCAUUGUUAAAAGAUAAGAAAAAUAUAGAUUGUAUUGAAUAUAAUGGAAAUAUAAUGGAAAUUAUUAAGACAGUAGUCUGCUUUACGGGCUUCAAAAAAUCGAUUUUUUUGUUUUGUUUUAAAUCUCUUCCAAAACUAUCCAAUAAUAUGUCUUUAAAAUUCCAGAGGCCAAUUUGACAUAUUUUCGAAGCUAGAGCAAUUUUAAUUGCCGACCGUCGAGCAGGUGCGAAUACUCAGGCAGACUUUAAAGCGCGUUUUCUCCAGUUUUCAUUUUCACAAGUGUUAGAAAACGGUGCCGGCGAUAUCAAAAAGAAUAUAUGUCCGAUCGAAAAAACCAAAGUUGGACAAAAGUAUUAUUUAAACCAAAGUGUAUUCAACAAAGUGAACCAGGUAUAUGACAUAUCACAAUUUUUUACCCGAAUGUGACAUGUUUGUUGCCAUUGAUUUAACCCAUACAUUUAUUCAAAAAUUCAAAUUUUGAAAUUCAAAAGUAAACAAAUUUCAAACCAAAAAAAAAAAAUUUUUUUAAAUGAAUAAAAGAAAAUGCCGAAUACUUUCUGCUUAGGCAAAACAACUCAUGGAAGCAAUUUACUAAGGUUUUGUGCUCCAACUGACAAAUUGCAAACAAUUUUAUCAAUAUAUAUUAUAUUGUUAAAGUUAAAAAAGACGGGCUAAUGUAAACAAAAACAUGUAUUGUUUACUAUUUUAUUGUCAAAAGGGGGUAUGUCAAAUACUUAGUUCACUUUGUUGAAUACACUUUGAUUUAAACUACUUGUUUUGCCACUUAAAGUCAUUUUUAUUAAAUUGAAUUUUUUAUCAAACUUCGAAAAAAUUUGGAAUUUUAUAAAUAAAGCAAAUUGCUAAAAAAACGCUUUUUUCGGCUUCUAAGCAGACUACUGCCUUAAACUUAACUAGUGAAUGAAUAAAAUCGCAUAUAAUAUAAAAAAACAUAAUCCACGACGUGAACAACUUCCCAUGAUAAGAAAAUUGAACUGUCAACUAAUGAAAGAGACAGUCAAAGGAGACAAGUAAAGUAUAUUAAGAUAUGAACUUCGAUAUUUGCUGCCCUGUAAAGAUUAUCAAAAUAAUGAUUCAUUGUGAAGACAUGGGGUCAACACAAAUUUGACUUAAUUGCGAGGUGUUUGCUGAUGUUAAGAUGAAAGAAGCUAAGUCCAAAAAGAUGCAACUCUUUUGUGUGAACAUUGCCAUGUUAGAAAGUCCUCAAUCCCUCCACAAAAAAGGACUAUUCUUGGAGAUUUUUUUGUU